rnacentral:rRNA from 1 species
UGGGGAAUUUUGGACAAUGGGGGAAACCCUGAUCCAGCCAUCCCGCGUGUGCGAUGAAGGCCUUCGGGUUGUAAAGCACUUUUGGCAGGAAAGAAACGUCAUGGGUUAAUACCCUGUGAAACUGACGGUACCUGCAGAAUAAGCACCGGCUAACUACGUGCCAGCAGCCGCGGUAAUACGUAGGGUGCAAGCGUUAAUCGGAAUUACUGGGCGUAAAGCGCGCGCAGGCGGUUCGGAAAGAAAGAUGUGAAAUCCCAGAGCUCAACUUUGGAACUGCAUUUUUAACUACCGGGCUAGAGUGUGUCAGAGGGAGGUGGAAUUCCGCGUGUAGCAGUGAAAUGCGUAGAUAUGCGGAAGAACACCGGUAGCGAAGGCAGCCUCCUGGGAUAACACUGACGCUCAUGCACGAAAGCGUGGGGAGCAAACAGG